rnacentral:rRNA from 1 species
GCAGUGGGAGCACCCUUUGGGGUGUGACUGCGUACCUUUUGUAUAAUGGGUCAGCGACUUAUAUUCUGUAGCAAGGUUAACCGUAUAGGGGAGCCGGAGGGAAACCGAGUCUUAAUUGGGCGUUAAGUUGCAGGGUAUAGACCCGAAACCCGGUGAUCUAGCCAUGGGCAGGUUGAAGGUUGGGUAACACUAACUGGAGGACCGAACCGACUAAUGUUGAAAAAUUAGCGGAUGACCUGUGGCUGGGGGUGAAAGGCCAAUCAAACCGGGAGAUAGCUGGUUCUCCCCGAAAGCUAUUUAGGUAGCGCCUCGUGAAUUCAUCUCCGGGGGUAGAGCACUGUUUCGGCUAGGGGGCCAUCCCGGCUUACCAACCCGAUGCAAACUGCGAAUACCGGAGAAUGUUAUCACGGGAGACACACGGCGGGUGCUAACGUCCGUCGUGAAGAGGGAAACAACCCAGACCGCCAGCUAAGGUCCCAAAGUCAUGGUUAAGUGGGAAACGAUGUGGGAAGGCCCAGACAGCCAGGAUGUUGGCUUAGAAGCAGCCAUCAUUUAAAGAAAGCGUAAUAGCUCACUGGUCGAGUCGGCCUGCGCGGAAGAUGUAACGGGGCUAAACCAUGCACCGAAGCUGCGGCAGCGACACUCAGGUGUUGUUGGGUAGGGGAGCGUUCUGUAAGCCUGCGAAGGUGGCCUGUGAGGGUUGCUGGAGGUAUCAGAAGUGCGAAUGCUGACAUAAGUAACGAUAAAGCGGGUGAAAAGCCCGCUCGCCGGAAGACCAAGGGUUCCUGUCCAACGUUAAUCGGGGCAGGGUGAGUCGACCCCUAAGGCGAGGCCGAAAGGCGUAGUCGAUGGGAAACGGGUUAAUAUUCCCGUACUUGGUGUUACUGCGAAGGGGGGACGGAGAAGGCUAUGUUGGCCGGGCGACGGUUGUCCCGGUUUAAGCGUGUAGGUGUGUGUUCCAGGUAAAUCCGGUUCACUUUAACACUGAGGCGUGAUGACGAGGCACUACGGUGCUGAAGCAACAAAUGCCCUGCUUCCAGGAAAAGCCUCUAAGCAUCAGGUAACAUCAAAUCGUACCCCAAACCGACACAGGUGGUCAGGUAGAGAAUACCAAGGCGCUUGAGAGAACUCGGGUGAAGGAACUAGGCAAAAUGGUGCCGUAACU